rnacentral:misc_RNA from 1 species
UCUCCGUAGGUGAACCUGCGGAGGGAUCAUUACAGAGUUCAUGCCCUACCGGGUAGGUCUCCUACCCUAUGUUAUUAUUACUUUGUUGCUUUGGCGGGCCGUUAGGCUCCGGCCCGACUACCGGCCCCGGCUGGUAAGCGCCCGCCAGAGGACCCAAAACCCUGAAUAUUAGUGUCGUCUGAGUACUAUAUAAUAGUUAAAACUUUCAACAACGGAUCUCUUGGUUCUG